GCAACUAGAAGGAGCCAAACUUGGUCGCCCGUCUGGUAUCCCCGCCGGGUCUCGUGGCGACUGACUGCGCGCGGAGCCCAUGGCGCUCCACGAGCUCUUCUCUCACCCUGUCGAGCGCGGCUACCGCGCCGGGCUCUGCUCCAAAGCCGCGCUCUUCCUGCUGCUGGCCGCCCUGCUCACCUACAUCCCGCCGCUGCUGGUGGCCUUCCGGAGCCACGGGUUCUGGCUGAAGCGGAGCAGCUACGAGGAGCAGCCGACCGUGCGCUUCCAGCACCAGGCGCUGCUCGUGGCCCUGCUGGGACCCGAGCGUGGCGGGGUCCUCGCCUGGAGCACGUUCCCCGCCUUCAACCGGCUGCAGGGGGAUCGCCUGCGCGUCCCGUUCGUGUCGACUAGAGAAGAAGACAGGAAGCAGGACGGGAAAACGGACAUGCUGCACUUUAAACUGGAGCUUCUCCUGCAGUCCUCGGAGCAUGUUCUUGGCGUGCAGCUCCUCCUGGCCUUCUCCUACCAUUUACACAUGAGUCAAAUGUCGACGUUUGUGAUGCAGAGCAUGGCGCUUCUCCAGUGCUCCUUCCCUGUCCCCGGGCCCCAGAUGUCUGUGCACGGAGACCCGAGGCUGCAGCAGAGGCAACCGCUCAACUAUGGUGGCCUAGACGUCCGCUACAACGUGCCUGUGAUCAAUGGGACCAGCCCUUUCGCCUGUGACGAUGACCUCACCCACACUGUUGCUGCCUACUAGGAAAGGAACAUUACAACCAUGCUGAACGAUCUCAACGCCACCUGACCAGUGAGCAGGGCCUCCGUGAAGCUCUAGUCCUGAUGAACGCUGUCAUUCAAUGUCCCGUGGAAGUCUGUACUUAUAAACCAGGAUUCGGGGGCAUAAAGUUUGCCUGCAUCCUGAGUAAGUAUGGCAGUACCCUGCUCAUCUUCCUCUGGAUGUUUGAAAGAAUCAAAAUAUUUGUGUUUCAAAAUCAGGUGGUGACCACAAUCCCUGCAACAGCAGUGCCUCAAGGAGAAGCGUCUAAGGGGCAUGUAUCCUAA